rnacentral:rRNA from 1 species
AUUGAACGCUGGCGGCAGGCCUAACACAUGCAAGUCGAGCGAGCGGCGGACGGGUGAGUAAAGUCUGGGAAACUGCCUGAUGGAGGGGGAUAACUACUGGAAACGGCAGCUAAUACCGCAUACCAUCAGAUGUGCCCAGAUGGGAUUAGCUAGUAGGUGGGGUAAUGGCUCACCAAGGAGACGAUCAGUAGCGGGUCUGAGAGGAUGAUCCGCCACACUGGGACUGAGACACGGCCCAGACUCCUACGGGAGGCAGCAGUGGGGAAUAUUGGGCAAUGGGGGGAAGCCUGAUCCAGCCAUGCCGCGUGUGUGAUGAAGGCCUUAUGGUUGUAAAGCACUUUAAGCGAGGAGGCGUUACUCGCAGAAUAAGCACCGGCUAACUCUGUGCCAGCCGCCGCGGUAAUAC